UCUGAGGAAAUUGUGUCAGUAGUUUUAUUUUGUUAUUUCAUAGUGUCCUUUGUAGACACUAUUUUUUCCAAGUUUCUUUUUCUGUUUAUUAGGUUGUUUCGGUCUGUUUUCAUUUUCAGUUUUUUUUCUCCAAUGCCUGGUGAUUCUUGAAUGCCUUGUCUUGUGUAGGAGCUGGGCUUUAAAAAGGUGGCCGAAAGCCUGCCUGCCUGGUUGGGCCUUCAGCUGUCUUGUCAGUCAUGGGGUCCUUGGGGAAGUCCUGAUCCUAGAAUUCUUAGCUCUUUCAUGGUGGGCUGUCAGUUUCCUUAGAUAAGAGUCCUCCGGUCUCUUCUUGGAGACACAAAGAGAAUGAUACAGUUUAGAAAUUCCAGAGAAGCUCUGAGCCUUUGAAACUAGGGGAGGGUAGGAGGUGACAGAGGAGGGCCUUGGGACAACCUCUAGGCUUCUGACUUGUGGGCUCAGAUUCCCCCCUGCCGCAUGACCUUAGGAAACGCAGGGGAGGACACAAGCAGAGGAGAAAGACACAGCUUUGAGGACCCAUGUGGCUGGGCAGCUGGUGUAGGGCCAGAGGUCUUGGCUCAGUGUCUGCCGCCCAUUAGCACAGGGCGUGGGCAGGACAGCCACCUUGAAUCUGCACGCAUGUCUGAGAGGAUAACACCUCCCCCAGGAUUAAACAAGAGAAUGUGUAUCCAAAAAGCAUCUAGCCUUACACAGCAUAGUGAGCACAUACCACCGUAUUCGCAGUGGCACAGCUUCCUUCCAACACUAGAGGCACGCAGGCCCGUCAGGCUGGACAUGGCAGGGACCGGCACCACUCAGGAAUCUUGUAGAGACCCAAGAAUAGAACCUGGGAACACCAGCACUCACGGGUCUAUUGGAAAGGGCGAGUCCACAAAGAGGGGCAGGGAGAAAACUGAUCACACAGCGCCACAGGCCAUUAGAAAGGGCAUAUCCCAAGGAAAGACAUGCGGUGUCCCUGAGAUGCCAGUGGUCCAUAAUUAGUCAUAGGUUAAAAUGGCUGAAAAUGUGAUCUUUGGUUUCAGCAAUUAGGAGAUCCAUAGUGAUGGCUUUGAUCUUCCUUUCAGGAAGGGAGGGAGCAGGUCUGAAGGGCAUUCUAGAAUUAGGUCAGAUAUGUACAUAAAAAAUAGAACAGUUUUCCCAACCAAUCUUAACAUUUCUUACAAAUCCACAGAUUGGUCACUGCCACAUUCACACAUACCUGGAGUUCAGCCACUGCACUCAGAAAGGGAACUACAAGUGACAGAUCCACAAAUCCACAGUCGACAGAUGCUCCUCAGCCUCAGCCACUUGCCUUUCCUGGGGCUGCGUCCCGCGCCCCAGACCCUCCUGUUGCAGCCUCAUUCUCUACAGGAUGAGGGAGAGGUUGAUUCUGUCACCCAUCCCAGGAGUCAGCUUGGACUAUCACAUGAUUGCUGGUGUUUUAGGUGGCCCAGCUGAUACCUACUUGCCGGAAUAGGACAGAACACUUUCAGGGUUGAAGAAAGCAUUGUUUAAAAACUUGGACAUUGAACAUAAAGUCAAUACAUCUUGCUUAUUCUACAAUCAAGGCAUAUGAUGAAAUUCACCGUGCAUUUUACACAGAUACCCAGUACAGAUGUGUUGUGUGGCGUCACGUGGACGUGGCUUAAGCUGCUCUGCUGUGCUGUGCAUCCUACAUGCAGCAGUUAGAGUGGGGCUGACUCUUAGAACAACAAGGAGUUGAAGCAGAGUGGAGACACAGCUCAUGGGGCUUCAAAGGACCUUCUGGCAGACACUUCAUCAGAAACAACCUGCCGGCCACAUAACAGUCUCACUGAUCGUCACCCUUAAAUACAAUGAUUGUGUUUAACUUAAAUAUUUGUAAAUUUUUACAUAUACAUGGUGAAUGUGUUUUCAGAAAAGAAUAAAGAGAGGAAGAACUAUCUUCCUGUGGCCAGCAGAGGCUUGUGCUCUGCUAAGUAGCUGAGAGCAGCCUCUGUGAGCUCUCUCCUUUGGAAAGGUGGAAAACAGCAGGAACACCUCUCCUCCAUUCCACACAUGGCCUGGCCACAUCUGCAGCACCAGCUCGGCAUGCGGUGUCCUCUGACAGCUGCCCUCAAACCCGUCACCCUUGGGUUAGGAUGCGAUUUCAUGCAAGUCACUGUCACACUGGCUGGCUUGAUACAUAUGUGUCUGGUGCAAGUUUAUGGAGAUGUGCACAUCAGUGCGUAUGCUGUGACUUCUUGUUUAAGUUUGUCUUGUUAGAAAUGCCCUUGUCAUUAGCUCACGAGCUCUCUAUUGGAGAGAGGAAAUGACUAGCCUGACUCAGGGUUCAUAGAAGAUGACCUGGUGGCACACACAGGGUGGGCAGGAGUGUGCCCGAGGCCCCUCCUCCAUUCCAGCAUUUCAUCUGCCAGCGCCUCAGACGAGGCCACCACACAGAGGAAGCACCACAGCUUCACAGACUGAGGGCUUGGCGGCUCUCCUGCGUGUGGUGACAAUGUCCAAUAAUGCAGUCUUGUGACUUCUUCUACAAAUGGUCUGCUAUUACUCGCAAGAAAACAUAACUGUUUGCUUUUGUUUCUAUCAAGACCUGUUACUAAAGUUCGAGAGUUGGUAAGGCUGUAGGGCAUCUAAGACAGCCCUCCCAGGUGACAAGCAGAGUCCAGUGAGGUUUGCAUGGGGUAUUGUGACAGUGUCAUCACCUGGCUCAGCUCUGCACUCGGCCACCCUUGGUUUUGGACUCCCUAAGCCAGUGUCAUCAUCCCCAAGGAAAUGGGUUUGCUGCAGUUCAGGAUUUCUCUGGUUCAACUCGUGUACAUUCCCUUGGAAAGAAGAAAAAGUGUGGAGUCCUGUGUUGAUUUGUGAUUGCUAACCCAAUGUUAUUUAAAUAUGUGCAAACAUAAAUUAGAUUCCUUAUGCUUAGGGUUCUUUCUUAAUACAACUUUCAAUCUAAGGCAUCACAGAAGUGAAAUGAAAACAAAAUUAUAAACACACACUGUUGUUGCCACAACCCCCAGUUGCUCUCCGGGCCAGCCAGUGGCUUCUGAGGCCAACCCAUGAGCUUCACCCAGGAAGAGGGCUUCACACCCCAUGAUGGUUGACUGGAACCUCCUUCUGGGGGCUGCAAGGCAGGGGACAGCAGAGCAGAGAGGCCCAGGGAGGGGCCAGGUGUCAGGAGCUGCAGAAGCUUAAGACUGUGCCCAAGGCACCCACCACACCACCGUCUGGGCCCUGGUCCUUCCUACCCCUCCUUCCCCACGUACCUGUGACGUGAGCCUCACCUAAGCCAGAGCACCCCCUGACGUGCCACCCAGCUGCACACCGAGUGUUGGCUAAGGUCAGUGGUACUGGGGACAGGAUUGCGAGGGGGACCCUGUUUCAUCUGCAUUGUUUGAAUGUCUGCGACAAGAAUGACUUCAUGCAUCAUGUGAUUGAAGAUACAGAAAAAGAGGAUGGCCAGCAACCAUUUGUAAGCCUCAGAUAAAGUGUCAAUUUUUAAAGUACUCAUUGCUUGGAUUUAAUAAAUCGGACUUCUUUUCUUCAAGUUUCAGCACCCUAGGGAUGUGUAUGUUAACUUUUUUCAUCCGUUGAACUUUUUGUUUAAACUUUCAAGCUCUCAGGAAGAAAACUAAGUAGGCCCUGGCAUUUCCUGACUGCCACACAAAUGCCCACCUUCUGUGUGUGGUGGGUCCAUCUUUGCUCCCAUGGUAUGGAAGUAAGACCUGUGACCGUGAGCUGACUGCACACACAUGUGGCAUGUGGUGUAGCUUUCACUUACUUCCAUCUUCUCAGAAAGAGCUGCACUGUGGUCCCAGCUUUCCAUCGUGCCAAGGCUCCUUACACGCAUCUUCAUUUUUGGCUGCAGGAAGAGAAGGCGCAUGGCUGGGUCACGUGCUCACUCAGCAGAGGAGGCACCAGCCACUUCUGUGUCCUCCGGAUGCCCCUGCUAUAGGGAGAGGCAGCAGCACGUGCGGGUCAUCUUCCCAGAAGUCAGCAGCUCUUGGGGUUCUGGAGCAUUGAACUUCCUCCUGUUUGAUGCUACAUUGAACACCCAGGGUACAGCCUCAUUCUCACCAUCUGCCUCCUGUCACACAAGAGCUGGUGGGUGCCUUUUCCAUCUUGGUUCCCAUUUUCCAAAUGGUCCCAGAGGGACUUAGUAAAGCAUUAGAAGAGCCCAGAGACUGGAAGCAAACUCACAAAAUUGACCAUGAAAUUUAGUCAAACGGUGAUAAAAUUUAGUCAAAUGUUGAUGAGAUUUAGUCAGUGAUGACAUUUAGUCAAAUGGUGAUGAAAUUUAGUCAAAUGGUAAUGAGAUUUAGUCAGUGAUGAUAUUUAGUCAAACGGUGGUGAAAUUUAGUCAAACGGUCUUGAAACCAGCCAGUCAUUGGAAAUGCCCUGAUUUCUUCCUUUUCCCUCACAUUGAGCCAAGUGCAUGAGCUGGUCCUGGGUGCCUGGAAGGCUGCUGGCCACGUGCCUCUGCAGCCUCCUGUGCUGUCCUCGGGCCCCGUGGCCUGUGCUCCUGCUCCAGCCCCCAUUUCCCUGACGGCCCUUGCUGCCUGCAUGGCUGAUUUUGCUCCUGCCAUUGCUGCAGGUGCUGUGGGCAAUGUCACAGUAUGGAAGCCCAGUGGGUUAGCCCCUCAGGCGUGUAGAAACAGCCCUUGGCGACCAGGCGUGGUGGCUCACACCUGUAAUCCCAGCACUUUGGGAGGCCGAGGCUGGCGGAUCACAAGGUCAGGAGAUCGAGACCAUCCUGGCUAACGCAGUGAAACCCCGUCUCUACUAAAAAUAGAAAAAAAUUAGCCGGGCGUGGUGGCGGGCACCUGUAGUCCCAGCUACUAGGGAGGCUGAGGCGGGAGAAUGGCGUGAACCCAGGAGGCAGAGAUUGCAAUGAGCCAAGAUGCACCAUUGCACUCCAGCCUGGGCGACAGAGCGAGACUCCAUCUGAAAAAAAAAAAAAAAAAAAAAAAACAAGAAAAGAAACAGCUCUUGGCUUGCAAGCUGUUCAUUUUUCUGAAGGAGGAAAUUGAAGGGUGAAAUCAGCCUUUCUAACAAUCUGAUUCAUCUCAUUAUUGCCAGCAUUAUUAGAUGUUAGAUAAAAAACAGUUAACUUCAACCUUUUCUACCUGGCACGUUAUCUGAACUAAAAAGAAAGAGAAGAAGCAGCCCUUCAAAAAUAGAUUUCUCUUUAUUUCUUUAUGACUUCCCAAAAAGUCUCUUUUAUCUGUGGAAGCUGGAGUAAGAAUAAACCCCAUAAGACACAUUA
rnacentral:sRNA from 1 species